UACCCGGAGAAAAAGCAUCGGCUAACUCCGUGCCAGCAGCCGCGGUAAUACAGAGGGUGCGAGCGUUAAUCGGAUUUACUGGGCGUAAAGCGUACGUAGGCGGCUUUUUAAGUCGGAUGUGAAAUCCCUGAGCUUAACUUAGGAAUUGCAUUCGAUACUGGGAAGCUAGAGUAUGGGAGAGGAUGGUAGAAUUCCAGGUGUAGCGGUGAAAUGCGUAGAGAUCUGGAGGAAUACCGAUGGCGAAGGCAGCCAUCUGGCCUAAUACUGACGCUGAGGUACGAAAGCAUGGGGAGCAAACAGGAUUAGAUACCCUGGUAGUCCAUGCCGUAAACGAUGUCUACUAGCCGUUGGGGCCUUUGAGGCUUUAGUGGCGCAGCUAACGCGAUAAGUAGACCGCCUGGGGAGUACGGUCGCAAGACUAAAACUCAAAUGAAUUGACGGGGGCCCGCACAAGCGGUGGAGCAUGUGGUUUAAUUCGAUGCAACGCGAAGAACCUUACCUGGCCUUGACAUACAGAGAACUUUCCAGAGAUGGAUUGGUGCCUUCGGGAACUCUGAUACAGGUGCUGCAUGGCUGUCGUCAGCUCGUGUCGUGAGAUGUUGGGUUAAGUCCCGCAACGAGCGCAACCCUUUUCCUUAUUUGCCAGCGAGUAAUGUCGGGAACUUUAAGGAUACUGCCAGUGACAAACUGGAGGAAGGCGGGGACGACGUCAAGUCAUCAUGGCCCUUACGGCCAGGGCUACACACGUGCUACAAUGGUCGGUACAAAGGGUUGCUACCUAGCGAUAGGAUGCUAAUCUCAAAAAGCCGAUCGUAGUCCGGAUUGGAGUCUGCAACUCGACUCCAUGAAGUCGGAAUCGCUAGUAAUCGCGGAUCAGAAUGCCGCGGUGAAUACGUUCCCGGGCCUUGCACUCACCGCCCGUCA
rnacentral:rRNA from 1 species